CCUGCAUCUUUCCGCAGGGCUUGCAAGACAGAGCUGUUCCGCCUGGCCUUUGGUUUGGACUGAGUCGGACCCUUAUGUCUUCCCUCCCCUUACGGUUUUGAUUUAUGGGCUACUUUUAAAAUGAGGCUGCUUUUUAAAUUGCAUUUUAACCUGUAUUUUAAAUUGGGCCCCCCCAUUAUCUUUCUAUUGUAAUUUUACUGGUGUUAGCUGCCCUGAGCCCGGCUCUGACUGGGGAGGGCAGGGUAUACAGUAAUUAUUAUUAUUAUUAUUAUUAUUAUUAUUAUUAUUAUUAUUAUUAUCAUCAUCAUCAUUGCAGGGGGUUGGACUAGAUGACCCUCGGCUCCCUUCCGACUCUAUGAUUCUCUGAUUCUAUAAAGUCAAGAACUGGGGCAGCUUGUGUAAAUCCAGGACCAUCCCUGGAAAAUAGGGACGCUUUGCACGACCCGCUUAGAAAGAUAAAUUCAUUUGGGUCGACUUUAGAAAAAGAUGCUAAGAAUGAGUAUUGUUGUUUAAAUUGAAGGCUAUAAGUUUAAAAUUGGAUAACUAAGAUGAAUUAAAUAUAAAAUAAUAAGGCAAAUGAUGGGGAUAAGAACUUGCUGAGCUAAUUAUUGGAAUUGGAAUACAAGAAGGGGAGGUGUGAGGAAGUCAGGGAAAGAUGGUAAGAAAAUAAGGAUUUGAAAUUAUACUUGUCUUUUUUCGUGUGGUGUUUAUUUGUGUUUUUGUGUUUGUUUAAAAAUUCGUGAAACCUUAAUAAAAAUUUAUUUAAAAAAAAAGAAAGAAAGAUGAAUUCAAAACAACAAGUGAAUUGCACACUUCUGCAACAUCCAAUCAAAACGAUUUAGUUUAACUCAGCAAAAACGGUGGCCCAACUUUUCCAAGCCUGAUAAGUCAUUACUAAGCAGGGGUGGGAAAUCUUAAGGCUUGCACAAGAGGGGAGGUGUUCCUGCUACUCAGUUCUCUUCCUGGGCGAAGGAACUGAUCUCUGGUUCUUAGAGAGGCAGGAAGUUGCCCAUCGAAAGGAAGGGGGGAGGGAAGACACUAUUGGUGGGGGGGGGGGAGAGAGGCACCCCGCUCACAGUCUGGGAAGAGAAGCGGGUUUGGUUAAGGAAGAGGCUUCAGAGGAGGAAAAAGUGGAUUGGGAGCCCCUUCAGAGAUUUUGGCAAAUCCUGAUGCAGAUUAGGCCUUCCUGCUUGGACUCCUGCAAUGCGCUCCACGUGAGGCUACCUUUGAAGGUGACUCAGAAACUACAACUAAUCCAGAAUGCGGCAGGUAGACUGGUGACUGGGAGCGGCCGCCGAGACCAUAUAACACUGGUCUUAAAGGAUGUAUAUUGGCUCCCAGUAAGUUUCUGAACACAGUUCACAAAGUGUUGGUGCUGACCUUUAAAGCCCAAAACAGCCUCAGCCCAGUAUACACUGAGGUCCUGCUCCAAGGGUCUUUUGCUGGUUCCCUCACUGCGAGAAGCGAAGUUACAGGGAACCAGGCACAGGGCCUUCUUGGUGGUGGCACCCUCCCUGUGGAAUGCCCUCCCUUCAGAUGUCAAGGAGAUAAAGAACUAUACAACUUUUAGAAGACAUCUGAAGGCAGCCUUGUAUCAGGAAGUUUUUAAUGUUUGAUGCUUUAUUAUGUUUUAUAUAUUCUGUAAGCCACCCAGAAUGGCUGGGGAAAAACAGUCAGAUGGGCAGGGUAUAAAGAAUAUUAGUAGUAGUAGUAGCAGUAGUAGUAA
rnacentral:lncRNA from 1 species